AUUAAGAAGGCCUGUCCCUCAGCGGGAGCGCCCGCUCCGGCCAUCCCGCCGAGCCGCCGGUGCAGGGGCCGUGUCGACGGGGAUAGCGCCGCCGCCGUAGCCGGCCACCCACUGGGGGGGAGACGCAGGUGCCGCUCCCGAUGCUGCGGUGGCUUAUCGGCGGCGGCCGGGAGCCGCAGGGCCUGGCGGAGAAAUCAUCUGUACAGACAAUCGGUGAAGAACAAAUACAGAACCCUUACACGGAGCUCCUUGUCUUGAAAGGUCAUCAAGAUAUAGUACGAUUUCUAGUGCAAAUAGAUGAUUGCAGGUUUGCAUCUGCAGGAGAUGAUGGAAUCAUAUUUCUGUGGAAUGCUCAGACUGGAGAAAAACUUUUUGAACUUCAUGGACACACACACAAAAUUACAGCUAUAGCACCAUUUUCUUCGUCAGAUGCUUCUGAAGAAAAAAAACAUUUGAUUUUAACAGCAUCAGCUGAUAGAACAGUUAUUGUUUGGGACUGCUCUAGUGGCAGACAGGUUCAGAAAGUGUCAUGUUUCCAUUCUACUGUAAAGUGUUUGACAGUUCUUCAAAGACUGGAUGUAUGGUUGUCUGGAGGGAGUGAUCUAUGUGUUUGGAACCGAAAAUUAGAUCUCUUGUGUAAGACCAGUCAUCUUACUGAUGCAGGUAUCAGUGCUUUGGUUGAAUUGCCUAAAAAUUGUGUUGCAGCCGCUGUUGGCAGAGAGCUAAUAAUUUUUAGGCUGGUUGCUUCUAAUGAUGGGUCUGAAGGUUGGAAUGUCCUUGAAGUAAAACGCCUUGUUGACCAUCAGGAUAACAUUUUGUCAUUAGUCAGUGUCAAUGACUUGAUUUUUGUGACAGGUUCUCAUGUGGGUGAGUUAAUAGUUUGGGAUGCACUUGACUGGACAAAACAGGCCUCUGAGUGCAAUUUCUGGGACUCCUCUGUCCAUCCAGAUGUACAGCCGGAAAUAAAAUUAUCCCAAAGCCCAAAUGAAACUUCAGUUCAACACUUAACAUCUGAUGAGGAGUGUGUGUUUGCUGCUGUUGGGAAAGGCAUAUACGUAUAUAAUCUUCAAAUGAAGCGUGUGAUUGCCUGCCAGAGAACUGCUCACGACUCCUCUGUACUGCACAUUGAGAGGCUUCCAAACAGGCAGCUGAUCUCCUGUUCAGAAGAUGGCAGUGUGCGCAUUUGGGAGCUCCGAGAAAAGCAGCAGCUGCCAGCUGAACCAGUUCCAACAGGGUUUUUCAAUAUGUGGGGAUUUGGAAGGGCAAACAAGCAGGCAAACCAAGCUGCUAAGAAGAUGCAGGAGAAUACACCUGUGUAUUUCUUGGAGCUGGUGGGUGAUUUGAUUGGUCAUUCAUCAGCUGUGCAGAUGUUCCUGUACUUUGGUGAACUGGGACUGGCUACGUGCUCUGCUGACCACCUCAUUAUUUUGUGGAAGGAUGGUGAACGUGAAUCUAGACUCCGCAGUUUAACACUAUUUCAAAAAUUGGCACAAAACGGUGAUUUGCAGCUGAAAUUUUAAAUUGCUCGAAUACAGGCUACAUAUGUAUAACUUGGAUGUGUGAAAUGUGUAUAUAAAGGAAAGUCUGAGCUAUUGGGAAUAUGACUACCGUGGAUCUCUGCCAGACGUGGCUUCUCCUGUGAGUGUACGUGUGUACGUCUCUCAUCCCAGUGAUACAGCUGCUCUAAUGAAACCCAUUCCUGCUCCCCAUAAGCUGUGCUUCUCUCACUACGUACUGGGGCAGAAAGAAAUCUCUGCCCCCACCCUGCUCAGCCCCAGUGAGCAGUCACAAGUGGGACCAGGAGCAGAAGUACUGCUUUCAAGGAACCAGCAGCAACAGGUCCCUUCGUGUCCCACACGGAUGAAAACAAAAUGCUGGUUCGGGAGCACAAGCGGCAGCUUUCCAAGAGCAGUGGAACUAAUGCUUCACCACGCACCCUCUCAGCAGGCUGCCCCCCCCGCGGCAUGGACGCUCCCCCUCCCUGUGAAGGCACUGCGUGCCGCAGGCGUUGUGGAGUGAUGCUGGUGCUCGUGCUGGGGCACUGCUUUGCAAAUCAGAAUAAAGAAAUUUUACAGCAGUUAUAAAAACUGGAGCAAUCUCUGA